rnacentral:lncRNA from 1 species
CUGGGACCCCUUAGGCCAUGCCACGCCCCUCCACCAGCUCAGGGAACCCCCUCGGCCGUGCAGACCUCCGCCACAAGGUCGUUUCCUCCCCUCCUUCCCUCGAAAGCGUAUGCAUUUCGUUACCCCUGGAACUGGGGUCAUUUCAGGACCUCCCAAGGAGGGUCAGGACGGUGGUAUUGGCCUUAAGGGGACGCGGGCUCAGGUUGGGGGUUGAACCGCAUGUUCGUGUUUCAAACAAACCUAAAUGUAGGCCUGGAAGGCUGUGCACUGAAAUCCUAGUAUUAGGUUGGUGCAAAAUUAAUUGCGGUUUUUGCCAUUGUAGGUUUGCAGAGUGAGAUUAUGGCGAAGCAUUUUAUUCUUUUUACAAACCUGCUUUUUCUCAGUUUUCCACAUUGGAUUUGCCAGCUACCUGCCUCUGCAGGACACCUCAGAAGUUACAGACCUGCCUGUGGAAAUGCAGAGCACCUGAGGUAUUUCCCAGACUCUCCAGUAGUAGCCUUGAAUGGCUGACCAACCGCAGUCACCUGCCAGAUCUUCUCAGAACCUGCCAGCCCACCAGCAACAUGCCCAUUAAGUGGCCUGGCCCAGCCCAGAUGAAAAACCCCCCUCCACGUGACUUUCUAAAGAACAUGCAUGAAGACAAAACACCAGGUGCCUCAGGUAUGACACCCUGAGGACACAUCACCUGUACAGUAUCCUAACCCACCCAAGAUGACACAGUAAGGUAAAACCACAGUAGAGCCCACCUGUUUGACUCUGAAGUCCAGGCUCCUUUCCAACUUAGUGCCCUAAAGGCCUGAUUGGGGUGGGGGUAGGGAGGAAGAUUCAAGCACUGAUUGUAGCCCAGGCUGGGAGGGCAACAGCUCUAGAAAAAAAGUCAUUCACUGCUUUAACCAUCUUCCAGCUAACUGCAGUGAGGUGUACAGGGCCAUGGGGCUCUGGGAUGAAGUCUUCCACCUCUACACCUUGUAAACAAGGAUUCCAGACACACCCUCCAAAUGGGAAUGGAGACACACGUUUGGCAGAGUUGGACAGUGACGCUGCUCUCCUAUCAGCCUGGACUUUGAGGGGAGUGGAAAACUGAUGAGUGUGGAGGUGCAGCAGUCCUGGUAUCCCCUGAAACCAGCCUGUGGGAGGACAGUCUUCCCAGGGGAGCUGCUCAGGAUGGUCCUGGUCCAUGCAUCAGGAAGAAAAGGGAAGCUGAGAGCAGAGGGAAAAUGCAGAAAGUGGGGCAGGGAGACUGCUCCCUGAAACCCCCAUGGGCUGCUGGUCCAAGCAGAAAGUAUUGACGGAGGGGGAGAGGCAGGGUGAAAUGGGACAGGAAACGAGGACUUCCGAUGAGGAGGAGGAGGAGGGGGCAGCGGGCUGCGGGUGUUGGGAACUGAACAGAAUGGGAUUUGCUAGACAGAGCUUUCCUCUACCCACUCCUAAAGUCCUGCUGGACCUCAGCUGGCCCCUGUGAACUGCUGUUGAGGGGGACAUAAACACAAAGGCCUGCAUUCCUGUGGGUGCACAACCCUAAGAGACCAUGGACUGCCUCUGUGUGGUGGGAACAGGAAAAGGAGGCUGAGUGUAGCCCUGCUUGGAAUUUAGUGUCCACCACAGAUGUAUCCACUACCCAGGGUCAAAGACUCGGCAGCCUCAGAAGACUCAAUGGAAGCUGAGCACAGGACUAGAAAGGGUCAGGCCCCUCCUCUGUAUGUAGGGGUGGCACAUGGUGACUAGCUGGGUGACGGGACACUGAGAAAUUAAAUGUUUGACAUAAAAAUGUAAUCAGAACCCGAGAGGAGGUGGGUGGUGUAAUGAACAGCAUCCUAGAAGUCUGGUACAGAUUUCACGUGUCACCUUCUAGUUCCUUAUCUGCAAAUUGAAAGGUGAGGUCAGGUGCCGUGGCUCAUGCCUGUAAUCCCAGCACUUAGGGAGGCUGAGGAGGGCAUACCAUUGAGGUCAGGUGUUUGAGACCAGCCUGGCCAUCAUGGUGAAACCUCUGUCUAUUAAAAAUACAAAAAUUAGCCGUGUGUGCUGGCACACGCCUGUCGUCCCAGCUACUUGGGAGGCUGAGGCAGGAGAAUCCCUUGAACCUGGGAGGCAGAGGCUGCAGUGAGCUGAGAUCACGCCACUGCACUCUAGCCUGGGCAUCAGAGCGAGACUUCUUAAAAAAAAAAAAAAAAGAA